rnacentral:rRNA from 1 species
GAUGAACGCUAGCGGAAGGCUUAAUACAUGCAAGUCGAGCGGUAGGUGGCUUCGGCCAUUGAGAGCGGCGCACGGGUGAGUAACGCGUACAUGACCUGCCUGUCAGAAGGGGAUAGCCCUGGGAAACUGGGAUUAAUACCCUAUGGUAUUGAUAUUAUGAAUGAUAUCAAUUAAAGUUGAGGCGCUGACAGAUGGAUGUGCGUCUGAUUAGCUAGUUGGUAGGGUAACGGCCUACCAAGGCGACGAUCAGUAGGGGCGUGAGAGCGUGGUCCCCCACACGGGUACUGAGACACGGACCCGACUCCUACGGGAGGCAGCAGUAAGGAAUAUUGGUCAAUGCCCGCAAGGGUGAACCAGCCAUUCCGCGUGGAGGAUGAAGGCCCUAUGGGUUGUAAACUUCUUUUAGAUGGGAAGAAAAUGCUAGAUGUAUCUGGUACUGACGGUACCAUCAGAAUAAGACACCGGCUAACUCCGUGCCAGCAGCCGCGGUAAU